rnacentral:rRNA from 1 species
UGUAGCAAUACAAGGCGGACGGCUCAGUAACACGUAGUCAACCUAACCUAUGGACGUGGAUAACCUCGGGAAACUGAGAAUAAACCGCGAUAGAUCAUUAUGCCUGGAAUGGCUUAUGGUUCAAACAAUUUAUUGCCGUAGGAUGGGACUGCGGCCUAUCAGCUUGUUGGUGAGGUAAUGGCCCACCAAGGCUAUAACAGGUACGGGCUCUGAGAGGAGAAGCCCGGAGAUGGGUACUGAGACACGGACCCAGGCCCUAUGGGGCGCAGCAGGCGAGAAACCUUAGCAAUGUGCGAAAGCACGACUAGGUUAAUCCGAGUGAUUCCUGUUGAAGGAAUCUUUUGUCAGUCGUAAAACCACAGACGAAUAAGGGGUGGGCAAGUCUGGUGUCAGCCGCCGCGGUAAUACCAGCACCUCGAGUGGUCAGGAGGUUUAUUGGGCCUAAAGCAUCCGUAGCCGGCUUUGCAAGUCUCCGGUUAAAUCCAGCUGCUCAACAGAUGGGCUGCCGGAGAUACUACACAGCUAGGGAGCGGGAGAGGCAGACGGUAUUCUGUGGGUAGGGGUAAAAUCCAUUGAUCCAUAGAGGACCACCAGUGGCGAAGGCGGUCUGCCAGAACGCGUUCGACGGUGAGGGAUGAAAGCUGGGGGAGCAAACCGGAUUAGAUACCCGGGUAGUCCCAGCUGUAAACGAUGCAAACUCGGUGAUGCAUUGGCUUAUGGCCAAUGCAGUGCCGCAGGGAAGCCGUUAAGUUUGCCGCCUGGGAAGUACGGACGCAAGUCUGAAACUUAAAGGAAUUGGCGGGGGAGCACCACAAGGGGUGAAGCCUGCGGUUCAAUUGGAGUCAACGCCGGA